GUCAGUGUGGCCGAGUGGUUAAGGCGCUAGACUUGAAAUCUAGUACAUUCGUGUUCGUAGGUUCAAAUCCUGCCGCUGACG
rnacentral:tRNA from 1 species